rnacentral:rRNA from 1 species
AUUGAACGCUGGCGGCAGGCUUAACACAUGCAAGUCGAGCGAGCGGCGGACGGGUGAGUAAUGUCUGGGAAACUGCCUGAUGGAGGGGGAUAACUACUGGAAACGGUAGCUAAUACCGCAUACCAUCAGAUGUGCCCAGAUGGGAUUAGCUAGUAGGUGGGGUAAUGGCUCACCUAGGCGACGAUCCCUAGCUGGUCUGAGAGGAUGACCAGCCACGCUGGAACGGGGCCACGGUCCAGACUCCUACGGGAGUCAGCGUUGGGGAAUCUUGCACAAUGGGCGCAAGCCUGAUGCAGCCAGGCCGGGUGUGUGAAGAAGGCCUUCGGGUUGUAAAGCACUUUCAGCGAGGAGGCGUUACUCGAAGAAGAAGCACCGGCUAACUCCGUGCCAGCAGCCGCGGUAAUAC